AAUAAUUUUCGUUGUUUUCACAGUUUUUUACUGUUUUUCUCGACAGUUUCUUACUGUAUAAGUUGUUUACAGUUUGUUACUAUAGAUUUGUUGUUUCCACAGUAUUUUAAUGUAUUUUCAACAGUUUUUUACUGCAUAAGCUUUGUACAGUAGGCUACUGUAGUUUUCCAAUGCAUUAUGGGAAAUAUUACUCUGAAUACAGUAUUACCAACCAACUGCAAAACACAAUGACAAACGUCUAUUUAUAUCUUAAAUGCUUAAUUUUUUUGUGAGAUAUUUGGUUUAAUGUCUGUUUUCACAUCAGAUGCUCGGUGUGUUCCUUUAACAUAAAUCAGGUGCCUUUUCUGAGGCUUUAAUGAAAUCACCAGCCAAUUCAAUAGACAUACCAUCAGUUCUUAAUAUUGUUGCCUCUGUGUCACAAAAUGUAUUUUUAAGAUUAGUUUAGGCGAUAAUAUAUAUAUGUAUAAUCUUCAAAUAGCAGUCGAUUAGUUAAAAAAGCGCUAAUUUUAGAAUUUGAUUAAACAAAUGCGGAGGGUUCAGGCGCGAGUCGGUCACGUGAUGUGCUCCUCAGUUCUGUCAGUAGGGGGAGUGGGAGAACGCGUGUGUGUCGUCGUAUCUGUUCUGCUCAUCUAGCGCGUAUUUCUUUAUUAAUAUCUGCUGGGUGAAUAUUAAUACGUAUAUGCUAACAUUAAUUUUGUGACCACAAAAUGACAGCGAGCUAUUAUACGAGAUAUUGUGUCGUCGUGUUUGUCUUCACUCACUUCAUCAUUAUCUGGUAAGUGCUAUAUGCAAUAUCUGGUAUGAGACUUUAUUGGCACUAAAGGGUUCUUUCGGCUAAAUUUUACUUAAUUUCUGUCAUAACAGCAAACAACUUCUGCAACUACACAAUGAUUGUCUGCCUGUGUGCAAAAUAAAGCACGUUCACUGUGUAAAACCCCGCGCAGGGCAUUUUCAAAUUAACGGUCAGGGCGAGUCUGAGCUUAUCGUGUUGUGUUGACAGAGACUUUGCUGAGUGUAUGUAAAUCUGGGCUACAGUCCACGACAAAUUUUCUACGGUAGAUUUACGCCUGCAUGCUGGUCCUUUCGUCUAUCGCGGGGAUAUCAUCACUUCAGCGGACAUCGCACUGAAGAGAUCCUGUGCUUGCGUGGCGGUGUGUUUGUGUGCUCACUUGGAUUGAGACCAGCAGUGCUUUUUUAAAAGUGGGUGAGUACUAACUUAUUAUUGUGUAGUUUCAUAAAAGCCUUACUCUUUUCAGUCACAUAACUUUUGUUCAUCUGCUAAUAAUAGGACUAUCCAUACACAAAGAUGUAUUGUGGAUUUAAGUAAUAUCUGCGAAUAUUUAUGUGAAAAUGUAUUAGUGUUCUGCUGACAUGAGAUCUGAAAUUGUGUUCUAGGACCUGAUAUGGAUUAAUCCAAUGAUCAACGUUUUCCUUUGUAUCCCUGUUUUGUAUACGCUGCCAUUACAUGAUGGUCAUAUGUCCCGGAUGAUCGGGAGAAGUCACGUGGUUCAAUUAUUAUUUUUUUUUUACGUGGUUCAAUUUUUUUUCAAUUUUUUUUACCAUGCAUUUAGCAUCAGGCAAAGCCUGCAAUCAAUCUAUUAAGACAGAAACAAUAUCUUACUUAUUAUUAUGUUGUUAUGACAAUAUCAUGUGAUCAUCUGAGUUAGAACAAAAUCUAUUCAUUUUCAGGUAUUACUGUGCAAGUUCCCUGAAUCAUUCUGUUGAAAUGUUAUGUGUUUAAGAUUCUUUAUGACAUCAAGAUGUGGUUUGGGAAGGACCUUCAUCUAAAUCUGAAGACAGGACAUACUGGCUCAAAAAGCGUUUGGUCAGGAACUGCCUAUACACUUGAAAAAUGCACAGAACUGGAACAGCACAUCAGUUGGGAGCACAUUAACAAGGAUGAAAUUUAUCCAAUAAUUAUUUUAAUAUUUAUAGGUAAGCAACUACUUGCUGAGUGUAUUUAAUGAGUGUGUAUUAAUCUCUUACAGCUCCCAUACUUAGUACAGUAUAUUUUAAUCAGUGUGGCAAUAACUUGUGUUUUAUUUUUAUGUUUACACAGGUGUUUCUGAUAUGGAGAAAAACCCAGCACUGCUCAUUUUAUUUCUUCAUCUUGAGAAUACAGCAAGUUUACCUUUUGUCUGGAAAAUGAUUCAGCAAAGCUAACACCAACAACAAUUUUUCAUGGCACUUUAAACCACCUUGAUGUGAGGAGCCAGCAUCAGAAUGGAUGGUGUCAAUAUCCUGAAAGUGGAGGUAACAGAGGUGGAUCUCGAGACUUGGCCAUGUUCUAGAUUAUAACUGGAUUAUCACAAGUGCUGUCGCCCCUGCUGUAUAUGACGCCCCCACCACCUACACCAGGUGUAGGAAAUGUCGGUCCUGGAGUGCCGUUGUCCUGCAGAGUUUUGCUCCAGCUCUAAACAAACACACCUGAACAACUAGAUCUGAAGAGUCACCAGAAAACUACAGGUAGGCGAGGUUUUAUCAGGGUUGGAAAUGAAAUCUGCAGGAUUUCGGCACUCCAGGACCGACGUUGCCUACUACUGACCUACACCUUCAUCCUGCCACCACCACCCAUACUACCUACAAAAAACUGUAUUGUAAUUAUGCUUUUCACUGUAUUGUAUGAUGUGGUUUUCUCAUUUAGGGUAACUACACUAUGGCAACAAUUGGAUACAUUGAUUGCUGACUGAUUUUGUUAUUUUUUCUUUACUUUUUGUUUAAAAUCUAAUCAUUUUUUUGUUAUUUUUGUUAAUAUUGUUACAAAUAUACAGUUAAAAACUGCACAAUAAAUUGUCUGCUUUUAAAGA